GGAGUUGGCAGCUUAGUGGUAGAGGGCAUGCUUUGUGUGUAUGACGUCCUGGGUUGAAAUCCUAGCUGCUCCC